UCUGCCUUUUAUGUUUUAUGUAAAGCACUUAGAAUUGCCUUGUUGAAAUGUGCUAUACAAAUAAACUUGGCUUGCCUAAUGAAGCAAUGCCUGUUUACGAUACUAAUUUAGGAUACUACGUCAGAGGUGUUAAUUUAACUCUAUGGCAAUUUUACAACAUGAGGAUUUUUGAGUCAUCAGUGUUGUAUUGGAUUGCAAUAUAUUGUACAGUUCUGCCCGAUUAACUGUGGUUAAUCAACUACUACAACUAAUCUGGUUAAGUCAACUAUAACCUGUAUUACACAAAUAUUUUAUUCCUACUAGUGUUCAUUUUGGCACCUGAUUUAGAUUUCGUUUUAGUCUUCUGAUAAAAAAGUUUACUAGUUAUUAGUUUUAGUUAAAACACUCAAAACAUUUUAAGCCCCAUUCAGACAGGACUUAUUUCUCCAGGGGAGGUGGGUUGAUUUCAAUGUUAUCUGCGUUUACUGUUACUGAGUUUCAUCAGCUCCGCACGCAGCGUGACAAGGAAGUAGAAAGGAAUUUUGCCAACUUGACAGGUCACUUAUCAACAUCAGUCAAUGAAAAGGUAAAAUAUAAAUCUUACAAGAUCAAGACCCUGCAAGUUCAUCAAAAGGGGCUGUUGUAACAUCAUGUUACAAGUGAUUCUGUCUUUGCUGCUCUAACUUUGUAAAGCCAAACUAAUUAGAGAUUCAACAGUGUUGAUGAGAGAUAUGAAUCAUGGUAAGUCACUGAAUCCAAAGCUACUGCUGGCUGAUAAGUUGGAACUUGACCCAAAAUCAAUUGAUAUUGAAUAUGGGCAUUGCAAUGGAAAGAUGAGCAGUCCAACAGGCCAUGGACAAUUGUCAUGAAGUUACUCAGAUUUCAGGACAAAGAGGAAAUCCUUAAGAGAGAAAAAAAAAACACUUAAGGGCACUAAAGGUUAAUUUAUCAUCACUCAACACUUCUGAUAAGUGUUGCUCGACAGAAAUGACGUAUUUUUGACAGAAUGACUAAUGUUGCCAUGGAGAUUGUCAAUUUAGCUAACUGUAAACAUAUAAACAUGGAGUGUCUGGUAUACUCUCUACUGAUAUAUCAGACCACCUUCCUAUUUAUAUUCUUGCUUACCAUCCUACUGAGAUUAAGCAAGUUGUUACAAAUACUUUCCUAAGAUAUUUCAAGAUGUCUAAUGUGAAAAGUUUUGUUGAUAAACUCUAUGGUAUUAAAUGGGAUACAAUUAUAGUAACAAAUGAUGCAUCUAAUGUGUGUAAUCUUUUUGAUGAUGAGUUCUUUGGUACUUUCAAUGAAACCUUUUCCAUGUGAAAAUUGAGCCAUCAAACCUAAAGCUUGUAAAUCUUGGUUGACUAAAGAGUAAAAAAAAUGUAUCUCUAGGAAACACAAACUAUAUAAAGACUAUCUAACCAAUCCCUCUUCCUUAAAUUAAGUUUAUUCAUUAAUGAAAUUGUAAAUAAGCCUUCUUCUGAAAAAUUGCCCCAUAGUAAGUUUAAUAUUAAUAAUACCAUCAUAGAAGAUCCCACUGAGAUUGCCAGUGAAUUCAAUAACUCUUGUCAAUAUAGGUCCUGCUUUGGCUGCAAAAAAUACCAUCAUACCCACUUGUUCUUCUAAUAUAGAGUCUGUUUCCCAUCUACCUUCAUUUACUUUUUCUUCUGCAAGUGAGCAAGAAAUAUGUAAUAUUGUAUCAAGUUUGAAAUGAACAGGUGCAGGUCAUGAUGAUCUCAAAAUGAAGUUAGUAAAACAGUGCCUCCCUGCUAUUCUACAACCACUGUGUCACAUCUUCAAUCGUUCCCUUCAAACAGGUAUUGUACCAGAUCAACUGAAAUGGGCCAAGGUUAUCCCAUUAUUUAAAGCUGAAAAUCCAUCAUUAUUAUCAAAUUAUAGACCAGCUCUUCAUUUCCACAUUUCUCCAAAAUACUUGAAAAAAAUGUGUACAAUAGAUCGGUCAAAUACUUAAAGGAUAAUAAGUUACUAUAUGACUAUUAAAUUGGAUUUUGUGACAAGCAUUCUACCUCUAUGGGCUUGGUGCAAGUAGCGGGCAGAAUAGCUACAUUACAAAGAAUUUACAAGUGGAAUAUUUAUUGUCAAAAGCUUUUGACACUGUAGAUGAUAAUAUAUUAAAUAAGCUACAAGCUCAUGGUGUUAUUGUUACUGAACUUAAUUGGUUUGAAAGCUACCUCCUUAACAGGAUCUUCGUCCCAUUCUCAUAGCUAAUAAUGCACAUGAAUAUGUUUCACAUGUUAAGUUCUUAGGUGUAAUCAUCGAUCAUCAAUUUUAAUUGGAAAAAGCACAUCUCUUAUGUGUCCAAUAAAGUUGCAGAAAAUUUUGGUGUGAUUUAUCCUUUCAUUUCUUAUGGCAAUAUAGUAUAGGCAAGCACAUAACAAUUCACUUCCCAUUUCUUUUUACAGUUUCUUUGUAACUAGGUCUCACUGUUAUCACACCAGAUCUGUUGAUCUUCUAUAUAGUCAGUUCUACAGAACUAGCCUUGGCCAUUUUUCAAUCAGGUACAGAGCUCCAGUCAUAUGGAACAGCUUUUCUGCUUCACUUCGCAGUCUCUCCUUAUGUCAGAUUUUUAAAAAAGAUCUUACACAGCUUCUCUUGAAGGAGUACAGUACUAUAUAAUUAAGGUAUGAUAACAAUGUAGGAAGGCAGUGCAAAUAUAUGUUAUUGCAAUGCUUGUAUUUAUUUCUUUUUUCUUUGUAUUAUCUUCUUUAAGAUAUUUUAAAAAUAUAUGUUCUAUAAUAUAAAAAAAAUAAAUAAAUAUCUGUUUGUAAAUUUGUGGCAAGCAUAUAUAACUGUCAAUUUCAAUGUUAGGUGGGUUCUUUUUACAAGCUCUCAGGGUUUUUUUCAUCCCACCUGUGCAUCUUUUGUUAUUGUUUAAUUCUUCUCUUUUGUUUCAUUUUAUUACAUGCACAAAAUAAAGAACUAAAGAAUGUUGCAGUCCCUUUCUCACUGUAAAAGCAUAGCCUAAUCGACUUCCAAAAAGAAAGCCUGCUGGUAAUGAAGGUCACAUGGUUUUCCCACAGUAUAUCACAGUCUAUUACAGAGUCAGCUUUUGUAAUUUGCCAAAUUGCUAAAAUGCUGUCUGGAAUGAUGAGAGAAGGGUUGAAAUAUUUCAUUACCCAGCUCCUUCUAUUAUAUUGAUUCAAUAGGAAGGGGGCUUUAGUCUUGUUUCUGUCAGUAAAAUUUCAUCAUGCAUUUUAAUUUUUUUUUGUAUUCUAAGCAUUCUGUGGGUACAGUCAUUGUUAAUUUGUACAGUUUCCAUGGUUAAAGGCGUUAUUUUAUCAUUUAAUGCAAUGAUUUUCCUUUAGUGAACAUCUAGAAGGUGAUUUAGAUACUGUUUUACCAAUCAAGAGAGUAGUGUGUGAUUCCGCAAACGCAGAAUAAGACACUGCAAGUUGUCGUUGACAAAAUUAACACUGAUUUCUACGUCUCCACUGAAGAGGCUCAGUAAUAUUUAGCAAACCAUGAGUGAAAAAUGAACCACAGUCAUGUAUUCAUAUGGUGAUAUGGAGUAUUCCAUUUUACUAAUGAUUUAGGUUAGUAACUUAAUACAAUAUUUGUCCCUGAAUGAACAUAAUGUCAUCUCUGACUGAGAUGGUUGCACACAAGUUAAGGAAGAGUUUAGGAAAAAAAUCAUUAUAGAAAUAAGUGUUGUUAAUACCAAGUCUGUAAAAUUUGAAUAAGGCAUGGAGGUGUGCAAGUCAUGUGUCAUCCUGCAUUUAUAUCUGUGGGCAAGAGUUUUUGUGAGAAAAGUGAUGUUUGUGUAAACUCGUGUGGGAACCUGUGGCAUAUUUUCAGUGUAUAUUAUAGAAAAGUGUGGAGCGUUGGAAGGAUUGUGAGAGAAAAAAGUGUAAGAGAGGGAGAACAGGGGCUAUUUGAUGAUCAGAGCAGUGUAAUUACCUCCCAGUGAGGUUCAGCCUUUUAGACGGAUGAUUAUUCAAGGGGAGAAAUCUCAUUUGCAUCUUGUACAGUAAUAUGUAAAAGUGUUCACUCUACACAAAAUUAAAUUGCCACAUUGAUUUUUUUCUCCUCACUAAAAGUACAUUUCUGUCCUUUUUCAGCAGAAUUAUGGUUUUACAUGUAGAUGAAUACAUCUGCUAGCAUAAAAGAGAAGAUAGUCUCUCUAUGUCCUGCAGUGCUUGUAUCCAUUUGUGUCUCUUGGGUUCAGCUCACAGAUCAUUAACAAGGCGGUAGACAUUAUUCUCUGCACUGUAUAGGGGGCUGAGAAAAGAGAAGCCAUGAAGUGAACCCAUGUCGCACUUCACUAUAGCUCCCUAAUACAAGGCAGGGGGUCACUGGGAAUGAAUAUUUGCUUGACAUAAUUAUCCAACAUGUGCAACGCUUGAAUCUACAUGUCCGCCUCUCCUUAGUCUCUUUUUCUGUAAUACUAAAUUUUACAGAGUCCAAACCAACCACCCACCCACACACACAUAUACACACACCUAUACACACACACACCUCCCCUUGGCAAAGCACACCGCUGGCUAUCAGUUUCUUCAAAGUAUGAAAUCAAGGACCCUGCUUUCAUUCACAGCACCUCCAAUUACAGUGGGAGUGAAAUAGCACAGAGUGAGCGUAAUGACAGCAAUCUAAGCUGUGUGGGGGAGAGGAGAAGAACACCUGACUGAGCCCCUGUCACAUUUGCUGCUGUACCACCCAGGGACAAAUAGAGAGAUAGAGGAAACCGUGGAAGAAAAGAAGAAGAGUUAGAUAGAAAGAUAUAAGAAGAUAACAAUAUAUUGGAUUGCCAAGAAUAGUAAAAGAGUGAGUAAAUGAAGGUGGAGAAUAGAAGUGUGAUGAGAUUUAAAAAAAAAAAGGAAAAUAAAGAAAGAGACGAUGAUUGACAGAGAGCCAUCUGUUGAUCUUCAUGCUUAUUUGUGUUGCUGUGAGCCUUUCCCCUCCCAACUGGUCCCUCAUGUGGCUGACUGGGGGUCAGCUGUGACUGAUAGUCCGUGCUCCUGUUUUCGGCUGACAGAUGGGCGCAAGGACCGACUCUGGUGCAGCCUGAAAACGGAUUCUCCAUGCCUCUGCGUGCUGCCACAGCCAUUUUACCCAGCUGUCAGUCACAGACAGCAUGUUUGACGUUAUCAGCUGUACCCCGCUUAACUGUGGAGGUCUGCUCAGAACUGCUGCUGGGUAGGAGUCAGACAGCAGAACAGCACGAGGGAGGGGAUGGGAAGAUGGAGGCAAGCAGUAAAUUGAUAAAGUAGGAAAAAGAAGGGGAAUAUGAAUCUGCCAAGGUUAAAAACAUGAAGAUGGUGGGCAGGGAAAUAAAGAAAGAAGGGGAUGGCAUGCUAGAUAUGAGAGUAAUUAAAAUGACAUCAGAGUGAGGAGCCCCUGACACUGUCUCCUCCUGUACAUGGACACAUAAUGAAGAUGGCUUCCAAGGCCUUUGGCUCCGCACCAAGAGCCGAGAGGCUGAAAAUGAAACGCAACAAGAGAAUCAGUCCUCUCCUCCCUCCUCUCCUCUUCCACUCAGGGAGAGAUUUACAGGCCAAGUUAUGACAGCACGCAAUAACGACAGCCAUAUUUUACUCCUGCAGUCUGACAACAGUAUCUGUAGCCAAUCAAAUCUACCACAGAACAAAAUUGUUAUCUCUACUGUGUGUGUGUAUAUGUGUGCGUUUGGGUGUUGAAAACUGCCUGUCAUCGCUAAAUGUGAUUGUGCUACAUUGAGUUGAUCGGCUCAAUUUAUUGCUGUCAAAGAUAAGGGAUUUUGAGGACAGGGAGACAGACUUUUAUGGGAAAUACAUUAGAAAAAUAAACACCCAUAAAAGAAACCGUUCCAAUCACUCAGAGAUGGAUUGCAUGGAAACCUGAUCAGGAAAUACUGUAUGCUCUUAAAAGUUCACCUAAGUCUUAAAAAGGGGCUGAGGGAAAUGUAGAAAGCAAGAAAUAUGAGAGUGGAAGAAAGAAAAUAAGGAAUCUAUGAGCCCGCACAGCCAAAAGUGAAUGAUGAGAAAAUAAAGAAUGAGAAGAGGAGAUGCAGAAAAAAGAAAGAAAGGAACCAGAGAGUUACUUAAAGCUGGAUGAAAGUGUGCAUGGAUCAAUAGAUAUGGAUGUGAAUAGGGAGACUUUUAAAUAAGGCUCUCGCUUGUGUCCUCAGAUCCUGUUUCACAAAGAAACUCAAACUCCACAGAUCAAUACCCAGCUCGUCUCACUGGCCCAGGUCCUGUACAGGCUGUAGCCAGUGGCUCCUCUUGUAUGGCUCUGUUUGUCUCUGUUCACGGCACUUGAAACCCACUCAAACAGUCUCUUUAUCUCUGCAGUUCCUGUCUCUAUCAACAUCUACACCACCUUUGCCCAUUAACUGUGUAUCCAUUUGCCCAACAAAGUAAGCAUCUCCCAAAUUAUUGCCAUAUAACAAUACAACGUCUUUUCAUUUCCAUUUGAAUAAAUGCCAGUUCUGCUAUUCUCAUUGCAAUUUGAUAUAACAAUAGCAACACACAUUAGAAUUCAGUCUACAUCCAAUUCAAGAAGCCCUUGACUGUUUAUAGUUGCUGUUUUGAACAUCUGGUAUUGGGUAUGGCUUUCCUGGAAGAAUUCUGAGGUCAGUUUUACAUUUCUGUAACAAUAAACUUAUACUGAAGAAAAGUAUGUUAAACUUAAGGAACUUUUAAAGGAAUAGCUGAACAUUUUGGGAAAUAUGUUUAUUCGCUUUCUUUCAGAGGUUUGAUGAAGAUGAAGAGCUCAGAGUGCCUGCCCCACUCCAGCUGUGUCUUGUUCUGUGAUUAGUUCCUUGUGUAUUUAUACCUGGCUGUUCCUUGAGUUUUUUGUCAGUUUGUGGUCAAUGUAUCCAGGUGUUUGUAGCUGUUGUUUUUUGCUCCUCAUGUGUUUCAAGUCAGCCAGUUCUGUUUUUGUCUUUGUCUGCCAGUAACCAGAGUCUGGUAAAUAAAUAAUGAUUUUCUUCA